ACACUCACACGGACGGAUCAGAAAUCCAAAAUGGCGGCCACGUGUAACAAGCGGAGAUUCUACACUGAUGACUGACUGUGUUGCUGCUACUGUUAUCUUUUUUACAGAUCUCCUCCUUCAGUGAUGCUCCUCCUCCUCCAGUGAAACUCCUCCUUCAGUGAAGCUCCUCCCACUGCAGUUCACCAAUAAACGCUGGAAUAUUCCCCUCAGCUACAAGUGAAGACGAGCAUCAAACCAUCAGGAAGAGCCAACACAAACACAGAGUUUAUUGAAGGACACUGAGAACAUGAGAUCCAGAACACUGCAGAAUGAAACAUACUGAAGAACAAAGAGGUUCCGAGUGCCUGACAACUGUGAGCUGAUAACGGGCCGCGCCGAGUGGAAUUGGACGUCUUGGCCAUGAUCUGACACGACGCAUCUCUCAGGGAUGGAAAUCAACUCUUUUGUCCACCGGCGGCCACUGUGGAUUUCAAAAUCGACCAGCCACUCGACGUUUUUACUAGCCACUUUCUUGUUUUUAACCGACAAUGUGUAACUGGUAACACUUUACAAUAAGGUUCAUUAGUUAAUGUAUUUACUAACAU